AGAGUUUGAUCAUGGCUCAGGAUGAACGCUGGCGGCGUGCUUAACACAUGCAAGUCGAACGGUAAGGUCCCCUUCGGGGGACACACGAGUGGCGAACGGGUGAGUAACACGUGGGCAACCUGCCCCUCACAUCGGGAUAACCACCGGAAACGGUGGCUAAUACCGGAUACUCCGGCGAGAUCGCAUGGUCUUGCCGGGAAAGCUCCGGCGGUGAGGGAUGGGCCCGCGGCCCAUUAGCUUGUUGGUGGGGUAAUGGCCUACCAAGGCGACGAUGGGUAGCCGAGCUGAGAGGCUGAUCGGCCACACUGGGACUGAGACACGGCCCAGACUCCUACGGGAGGCAGCAGUGGGGAAUCUUGCGCAAUGGGCGAAAGCCUGACGCAGCAACGCCGCGUGCGGGAUGAAGGCCUUCGGGUUGUAAACCGCUUUCAGCAGGGAUGAAACUGACAGUACCUGCAGAAGAAGCCCCGGCUAACUACGUGCCAGCAGCCGCGGUAAUACGUAGGGGGCGAGCGUUAUCCGGAUUCAUUGGGCGUAAAGCGCGCGUAGGCGGCUUGCUAAGUCAGAUGUGAAAACCGGGGGCUCAACCCGCGGCCUGCAUCUGAAACUGGCAGGCUUGAGUCUGGUAGAGGAAAGUGGAAUUCCUGGUGUAGCGGUGAUAUGCGCAGAUAUCAGGAGGAACACCAGUGGCGAAGGCGGCUUUCUGGGCCACGACUGACGCUGAGGCGCGAAAGCUAGGGGAGCAAACAGGAUUAGAUACCCUGGUAGUC
rnacentral:rRNA from 1 species